CUUACCAUGCAAGUCGAACGAUGAACACUUCGGUGGGGAUUAGUGGCGAACGGGUGAGUAACACGUGGGCAAUCUGCCCUUCACUCUGGGACAAGCCCUGGAAACGGGGUCUAAUACCGGAUAAUACUUCCACUCGCAUGGGUGGGGGUUAAAAGCUCCGGCGGUGAAGGAUGAGCCCGCGGCCUAUCAGCUUGUUGGUGAGGUAAUGGCUCACCAAGGCGACGACGGGUAGCCGGCCUGAGAGGGCGACCGGCCACACUGGGACUGAGACACGGCCCAGACUCCUACGGGAGGCAGCAGUGGGGAAUAUUGCACAAUGGGCGAAAGCCUGAUGCAGCGACGCCGCGUGAGGGAUGACGGCCUUCGGGUUGUAAACCUCUUUCAGCAGGGAAGAAGCGAAAGUGACGGUACCUGCAGAAGAAGCGCCGGCUAACUACGUGCCAGCAGCCGCGGUAAUACGUAGGGCGCAAGCGUUGUCCGGAAUUAUUGGGCGUAAAGAGCUCGUAGGCGGUCUGUCGCGUCGGAUGUGAAAGCCCGGGGCUUAACCCCGGGUCUGCAUUCGAUACGGGCAGACUAGAGUGUGGUAGGGGAGAUCGGAAUUCCUGGUGUAGCGGUGAAAUGCGCAGAUAUCAGGAGGAACACCGGUGGCGAAGGCGGAUCUCUGGGCCAUUACUGACGCUGAGGAGCGAAAGCGUGGGGAGCGAACAGGAUUAGAUACCCUGGUAGUCCACGCCGUAAACGGUGGGAACUAGGUGUUGGCGACAUUCCACGUCGUCGGUGCCGCAGCUAACGCAUUAAGUUCCCCGCCUGGGGAGUACGGCCGCAAGGCUAAAACUCAAAGGAAUUGACGGGGGCCCGCACAAGCAGCGGAGCAUGUGGCUUAAUUCGACGCAACGCGAAGAACCUUACCAAGGCUUGACAUACACCGGAAACGUCUGGAGACAGGCGCCCCCUUGUGGUCGGUGUACAGGUGGUGCAUGGCUGUCGUCAGCUCGUGUCGUGAGAUGUUGGGUUAAGUCCCGCAACGAGCGCAACCCUUGUUCUGUGUUGCCAGCAUGCCCUUCGGGGUGAUGGGGACUCACAGGAGACUGCCGGGGUCAACUCGGAGGAAGGUGGGGACGACGUCAAGUCAUCAUGCCCCUUAUGUCUUGGGCUGCACACGUGCUACAAUGGCCGGUACAAAGAGCUGCGAAACCGUGAGGUGGAGCGAAUCUCAAAAAGCCGGUCUCAGUUCGGAUUGGGGUCUGCAACUCGACCCCAUGAAGUCGGAGUUGCUAGUAAUCGCAGAUCAGCAUG
rnacentral:rRNA from 1 species